rnacentral:lncRNA from 1 species
AUCCCCAUGGAGGGCAAUUCCCCACUAAAAGCUGGAGAAGUUAGCACUCUUUAAAGAACGAUCUUCUUUGAGGUUUGCAGACUCUCUCUAUUGUCCUCUUGGCUUACGCCCUUUGAAGAAGGAAGCUGCCAUAUUGGAGAGGCCCAUGAGGCAAGGAAUUGAGGGCAGGUUCUGGCCAACAGUCACUGAAGAACUGAGGCCCUUAGUCCGUCAGCCCAUGAGGAACUGCAUCCUGUCAAUGACCACGUGAGCUUGCAAUCAAAUCCUCAUCCCACUGAGCCUUGAGAUGACUCUGCUCCCAAGCAUCACCUUGACUCAGUGACCCUGAAGUAGAGGACCCAGGUACCAAAGUUGAAAGCCCCGAAUGCUCACAGAGCAGCUGGAACAAGAAUUACUGCCUGCAGGCGCUUCUGUCCACCAGCCACGUGUCAGUGAGUGGCCCUGGACCCAGCCAGGCAGCGUCUUCAGACUUCCAAAUAAGCCUGAAGAGGACAGGAGAGCGAGCAAUGUCUCCCUGAAUGGGACUACAGGGGACGCUGGUAACCGCACCUCAUUCAGCAACUUGAGAAACAUCAGCAAUAAUACUACAAGCAAUCGCUUAGGUACUUGACUGUGAGCAGGAAUAUGAGACAAGUGGAACACACUGGCUCUCAUUUUUUAAAGAUGAUUUCACCUUAAGAGGCCGUGGAACCCCAAAGUCAACCCCCAAGCAUCCCCAGAAGAAAAGUACACUUUGAAUAAUUACAGUCCUUUAACUUUCCUGAUUCAACCUUCAAAGGCCACGAAUUGCUUCUAACGAAGAAGCUGAAGUGAAAGAAGAAGGAACGUCAACAAAAAUGUCUGUUUGUGUUAUCUCUUUACUUUCACGGUUUAUAGGUUUGGGGGAAAGUUUUUAUUUUCGGUGGAAUAGAAGAAGGGAAGAAGAGAGACUAAAAAGCAUUUCUUAGAUUUCCAGAAGCAGUAAUGGAAAAUCCCGACCCUAGAGUCUUGCUUUCUUCCUAGAAAUAGAAUGCUCCUGAAGUUCCCAGGAGAGCCCUUGGCAGACAGAUGUCAAUCAUUCCAUCCCUUGUUUUGCUGGGUGGAGUCACUGGAGCUUAAAGAAGGGGAAGUAAACUCAAGCACACAUCCUGGUGACCUCUAGCCACGGGUCAAAUUUCACUGAUGUCAAUUAAAAAUGACCAAAGACCCGCCCCUGUGAAAACCCUGUGGGCAGCCAUUUUGUCUCAGGGAAACUGCCCAGAUCUGAUGUAAAGUAUUUCCGGACGUCUCUUCGUUGUAUAUGGCAUUUCCCUGAAAUAAGCAACUCUCUGAAAAAUAUCAUAGCGCAGAUCAAAAUGAAGUACUCUGUGGUGAAGUAGAAGUACACAGUCAACAAAGAAACUUGCCCUCAGGCUGCACAGUAAAACGUUGGAAAUCCCAGAGCAGCAAC